AUUGAACGCUGGCGGUAUGCUUAACACAUGCAAGUCGAACGGCAGCAUGGUCUAGCUUGCUAGACUGAUGGCGAGUGGCGAACGGGUGAGUAACGCGUAGGAAUAUGCCUUAAAGUGGGGGACAACUUGGGGAAACUCAAGCUAAUACCGCAUAAUUUCUUCGGAGAAAAGCUAGGGACCUUUUGGCCUGGCGCUUUAAG
rnacentral:rRNA from 1 species